CCUACGGGUGGCAGCAGUGGGGAAUAUUGCGCAAUGGGCGAAAGCCUGACGCAGCGACGCCGCGUGAGGGAUGAAGGUCUUCGGAUCGUAAACCUCUGUCAGCAGGGAAGCACGGUCACUGUGCUAAUCAGCAGUGAAUUGACGGUACCUGCAAAGGAAGCACCGGCUAACUCCGUGCCAGCAGCCGCGGUAAUACGGAGGGUGCGAGCGUUAAUCGGAAUUACUGGGCGUAAAGCGCUCGUAGGCGGUAUGUCAAGUCAAGGGUGAAAUCCCCGCGCUCAACGUGGGAACUGCCUUUGAAACUGGCAAACUGGAGUGUGUGAGAGGAUAGUGGAAUUCCAGGUGUAGUGGUGAAAUGCGUAGAGAUCUGGAGGAACAUCAGUGGCGAAGGCGACUAUCUGGCACAUAACUGACGCUGAGGAGCGAAAGCGUGGGUAGCAAACAGGAUUAGAUACCCGGGUAGUC
rnacentral:rRNA from 1 species